rnacentral:rRNA from 1 species
CAGUCGCCGCGGUAAUACGUAGGUGGCAAGCGUUGUCCGGAUUUAUUGGGCGUAAAGCGAGCGCAGGCGGUUUCUUAAGUCUGAUGUGAAAGCCCCCGGCUCAACCGGGGAGGGUCAUUGGAAACUGGGAAACUUGAGUGCAGAAGAGGAGAGUGGAAUUCCAUGUGUAGCGGUGAAAUGCGUAGAUAUAUGGAGGAACACCAGUGGCGAAGGCGGCUCUCUGGUCUGUAACUGACGCUGAGGCUCGAAAGCGUGGGGAGCAAACAGGAUUAGAUACCCCUGUAGUCCCUGUCUCUUAUAC